rnacentral:lncRNA from 1 species
GAUUGGCUAGCCUUGCCCCCUCGUGAUCAUGGAAGUGGGCGGGGAGCGUGCUGGGCAGAAAUGACCGCGGUAGCACUCCUGGGGAGGCCUCUAAAGCUGCAGACACGAUGUGUCGCGGGACCAUCCAGUUCUGGCCCCGUGCAGGAGGACAGGACGCCGUCUGGUCGCUGCCCUGGGCGCUCAACAUGGGAGCUGCCAGAGGAGAGCGCCCUGUGAGUGCCUGACAAAUGGAGGUAUUUCUUUCCAGGUUUUACAACCCGAUGUAUUUUCAGGGAGGACCUUCCUAGGUACCUCCACUUCUCAGUCUCUCAACUCAGCAGCCUCCAUCCAUUUCCACGAAUCCGCUGGACUCGCUCCUGCAAAACACGGUGUGAAAUUGACUUCUAACUGGAAGCCUUUCUUUUCCAACCCCAUCCACUGCAAUUCUUCUGUUUUCAGCACUCUGGUGUUCUGUGUUUUUUGUUGUUGUUGUUUUUGUUUUUGUUUUUUUCAUGUGUUUAGCUCGGGCUUUGAAAGAAUCUGAAAUCUUAUCUUUUAAUUUCAAAUUCCCUAAAGCCACAGAGUGCAUCUUUCCCUGUCCCACACAGUGCCUAGUUCAGUUCUUGUCCCACAGUAUAUUAACCAACUGCCACAAAGCCUCAUGUAUGCCACACAACUAAACACCAGGACGUCUGAAGGAAAAACUCUAGAAAACUCUAGAGUGGCUCUUUGGAGCAGGAAGAGCUGCUACACUCCCAAUGCCCUCUGAGAGCUGCCAGGUCCCAUGAUGCCUUCUCUUGUGUGUAGACUGAGAUGUAUUCAUUAAGGGUAACACGGUGAUUUUUUGUUUGUGCUCCCUUAAUUAAAAAAAAAAAAAAGAUUUGGUGGGAAAGGCAGAUGGAAGUUCUUGAAGGGGGCUACUUCAGAGCAGGUCUUUCUGAGCCCCCUUGAAGCACACCGUGUGUGUGUGUGCGUGUGUGUGUGUGUGUGUGUGUGUGUGUGUGUCUGGGACCCCAGAGUCAAUCCAGAUGAUGCUGAUAUAGUUACAUUUGAGAACCAGUGGUAGGUAGAUCUUUGCUACUCUAGUCCUCAGGCAAACAGCAUCAGCCUCACCUAGGAGUUUUUAAGAAAUGCAGAAUCUCAGGACCCAGCCAGACCUACUGCAUAGAAGUCUGCAUUUUAACAAGAUCUCUAGGUGAUUGGUGUAUACACAAAAGUGUAAGAAUCCCUGCUUUAGUAAUGACUGCUCUGGGAACAAGCUUAAACUUGGGCAACCUGGACCUAUGGUCACCCAUCCUAUCAGGGAGAUAGAUGGUAGAUGGUGGGCUAGGGACAGGGUGAGAGGAAAUCUGAGCAGCCACAGAUCUGGGGUCCUCUCCCUCCCAAACUGGCCCCUGAUUUAGAAAUAUGGUCUCAAGAGCCUAUCUUUCUGUCCCCAGUUUUCACCGUAGACAACUUUCUAAUAAUUGAACUGUCUGUCCUGCCUGCUAGUUGCCUUUGUUAUUAUCGUAAUCAUUAGUGGUUGCUGGAAGUGGGGCAGGGUGUGUUUAGGUGAGCAGGGGGGAGUGUUAAUGAGCCCAUGGGUCUGGUGUGAGGGGGAGAUCCCUGUACCUAUCACAACCCUGUGCCUUUAUUGCAUGCUCCUUUACACACCCUCCACCCCUUGAAGAGGCUUCCCCUGGCCCCCUGCCCAGUAACUUACUUACUAUGAAUAUUCCGUUGCUACAUCCUGUUUCUGCUUUUGACUUUGCAUCCUGUUCCAGACCCUUAGCCUGCUCCCUAGCCUCUAAUCUGACUCUUCCAUUAACUGUCAAACCUUCAACAGAUAAUUCUUUUAGCAUCUGCUGUGCACACCAGUAAGUGCUGAAGAUUCAAGGUGAACCCAAGACACAAUCCCUGCCUUAUGGGGUUUACAGCAUUGUGUGGACAUCCAUCAUUCACUCAGUCCUCACUGCACCAGAGACGACACUAAAUGCUUCACUUGCAUAAUCUCACUUUUCUCAGUCAUAACUGUCAGGUUGUCCCCACUUCAUAGUUGAAGAAGCCAUGGCUCAAAGACUUAAAUAAUUUUCCCAGGGUCAUAGCUAAUUGGUGGCACAGGCAGGAGGAUUUAAGCCUAAGUCUGAUUGCCUCAAAAAUGUCUUAAACCACUCUGUAAAAGACUGUUCUUCAUCACUGUAUCUCCAAUGCUCAGGACAGUGCCUGGUAUGUAUCACACAAUCAACAUUUGUGGAAGGAAGGAAGGAUGUUGUUUUGAGCCGUCUCUUGGGCUCCACCCUUCAAAUACAGAGCCACCUCAAACCCAGCCCUGAGGUUUCUCAGUACCUCUGGGCACCACAUCUUCCUUCCUCACAGAUCCCCCAGCCCCCACCCUACAUCUGAGGCCCUCCCUAAUUUAUCCCUGCCUCUUAGGGGCAGCCAGCCAGACCAAGAAUCCCUUCUUCAUCUUGUCUGAGUAUAAUACAUGUAAAGUUGAUCCAAGCUUUCUACCUAGAAAACACACACACACAUCCUGAAGCUUUAUAAUUUACACAGCAGUAAUAAAAACGUUGAAGGAAUUUAAGUAGAUGGAUGUGGCACAACCUCAGCUCUCCUGAUGUUUUACAGACUGCCACACUAUACCAGCUGCCUCCCACAAUGGCUGUGAGGUGAGAACCUGAGGUGAGAACACACCCUUCCUUCAAGCUACUUCACACUGCCUCCUCAGCAUAAACAUAAGAUUUUCCCUUUUCUAUUCCUCUUAAGAGAAAAAGUAUAAUAUAGGCCAGAGGAAAAGUAUAAUAUAGGCCAGAGAAAAAAUAUAAUAUAGGCCACAGAGACUGACUUAAGUUUCUUGUGGCACAGAUGAGGAUUAUACUGUGGCAUUUCUCUUUUCUGUGACUGGGUGGGCCACGGUGAAAUAAAGUCCUAAAAUGUAUUAAAACUGUUUAGACCACCUAAAUUAGAAUCCUUCAUUUGUUAGGCCUUUCAGAAACAUUUCUCGGGACUGCAAAAUAUAUGGUAGGGAUUCAUUCCAUUUUAUAGAUCAGCAAACUGAGACAGAAGGUGAGUGAGGGAAUUGGAAUCAUACGAAUGGUUAUGGCAGGAUACAGGGCACAGAGACUUUGGCACACUUUACUUUUUCCACUAUACCACAUACUGUCUCCUGAAUUGAACAUUUUCAUCUUCUUUAUUAUAAAAUGAUUCAAAUAAAAUAUAUCUAUAUGUUUUCUUAUUUCACUUUUUUUUUUUGGUCACUCUAGAACUGUA